rnacentral:misc_RNA from 1 species
GAUGAAGAACGUAGCGAAAUGCGAUAAGUAAUGUGAAUUGCAGAAUUCAGUGAAUCAUCGAAUCUUUGAACGCACAUUGCGCCCGCCAGUAUUCUGGCGGGCAUGCCUGUUCGAGCGUCAUUACAACCCUCAGGCCCCCGGGCCUGGCGUUGGGGAUCGGCGGAGCCCCCCGUGGGCACACGCCGUCCCCCAAAUACAGUGGCGGUCCCGCCGCAGCUUCCAUCGCGUAGUAGCUAACACCUCGCGACUGGAGAGCGGCGCGGCCAUGCCGUAAAACACCCAACUUCUGAAUGUUGACCUCGAAUCAGGUAGGAAUACCCGCUGAACUUAAGCAUAUCAAUAAGCGGAGGA